UCUUGUAUCUCACUCUUAUCUCCUUUUUUCUUUUCAUUUGAACCGCUAGAAGGGAAGAAAACACAUACAUACACACCUCUCCUAAAAUGCUCUCAACUCUCUCUACAUUCACUUUUCUCUUCUAACUCUGGCAGAAAAUCAAGAGAGGAAAAAAGCCCCAAAUUAAAAUAUCUCUAAAUCACUCCUUUAAUUUAUCAAAUAUAAUAAUUAUAACAAAUAGCCAACUAAAUAAGGGAUUAAUCUAGUUACACUCGAUUCAAGCACGGAUGAGCUGUGAAAACAAUAGUAACAACGCCAUGAAAGACGUGACCCAGUGGCUGUAAAAGAAAGCUUCCACAAAUGAUCUCUCAGCUUCAGUCAACCUUCUUGCGUACACGUAACCCUCCAGACUAUUAGCUUGAUAGUGAUUAUGUCUGUCGUUUAUAACGGUUACCCUCUAACCACCAUCACUUGUCAAACGGUCGUCAAAUCUAAAGGGGCACUCACAUUUAAAUGUCUUUUUAAUGAGCCCGAUUAUCCUAUUAUCUAUUUGCCCAGAAA